GACGAACGCUGGCGGCGUGCUUAACACAUGCAAGUCGAACGGAAAGGCCCUGCUUGCAGGGUACUCGAGUGGCGAACGGGUGAGUAACACGUGGGUGAUCUGCCCUGCACUUCGGGAUAAGCCUGGUAAACUGGGUCUAAUACCGGAUAGGAGCCAUUUUUAGUGUGAUGGUUGGAAAGUUUUUUCGGUGUAGGAUGAGCUCGCGGCCUAUCAGCUUGUUGGUGGGGUAAUGGCCUACCAAGGCGGCGACGGGUAGCCGGCCUGAGAGGGUGGACGGCCACAUUGGGACUGAGGUACGGCCCAGACUCCUACGGGAGGCAACAGUGGGGAAUAUUGCACAAUGGGCGCAAGCCUGAUGCAGCGACGCCGCGUGGGGGAUGACGGCCUUCGGGUUGUAAACUCCUUUCGCUAGGGACGAAGCUUUUUGUGACGGUACCUAGAUAAGAAGCACCGGCUAACUACGUG
rnacentral:rRNA from 1 species